rnacentral:piRNA from 1 species
UCCACUGCCCAGUGAGGGGCCUUCUGAUGUU